rnacentral:misc_RNA from 1 species
AAAUGCGAUAAGUAAUGUGAAUUGCAGAAUUCAGUGAAUCAUCGAAUCUUUGAACGCACCUUGCGCUCCUUGGUAUUCCUUGGAGCAUGCCUGUUUGAGUAUCAUGAAAUCUUCAAAGUAAAUCUUUUGUUAACUCAAUUGGUUUCUACUUUGGUAUUGGAGGUCUUUGCAGCUUCACACCUGCUCCUCUUUGUUCAUUAGCUGGAUCUCAGUGUUAUGCUUGGUUCCACUCGGCGUGAUAAGUUAUCUAUCGCUGAGGACACUGUAAAGGGUGGCCAAGGUAAAUGCAGAUGAACCGCUUCUAAUAGUCCAUUGACUUGGACAAUACUUUUAUGAUCUGAUCUCAAAUCAGGUAGGAAUACCCGCUGAACUUAAGC